rnacentral:rRNA from 1 species
UACGGAGGGUGCAAGCGUUGUCCGGAUUUAUUGGGUUUAAAGGGUGCGUAGGCGGCCUUAUAAGUCAGUGGUGAAAGCCCAUCGCUCAACGAUGGAACUGCCAUUGAUACUGUAAGGCUUGAGUACAGACGAGGUAGGCGGAAUUGAUGGUGUAGCAGUGAAAUGCAUAGAUACCAUCAAGAACACCGAUUGCGUAGGCAGCUUACUAGGCUGUAACUGACGCUGAGGCACGAAAGCGUGGGGAGCGAACAGG